ACGGGUUAAUAUUCCCGUACCUUUUAUUACUGCGAUGGAGAGACGGAGUAGGCUAAAUCAGACGGGCGUUGGUUGUCCCGAUCUAAGCGUGUAGGGAGUUUUCUUAGGCAAAUCCGGGAAAACACUAUCCUGAGACGUGAUGGCGAGGUCCUCUUUUGGACCGAGUGAUUGAUGCCAUGCUUCCAAGAAAAUCUUCUAAGCUUCAGGUAAUAAAAGACCGUACUCCAAACCGACACAGGUGGUCAGG
rnacentral:rRNA from 1 species